UUAUGGGAAAUUGAAUCAACUGAAACAUCAAGUGUGCUGUUGAAACCAGAACAUCGAACUUGUUGGAAACACUACAUAAAAACGACUAUUGUGAACAAUCCCAGUCAACUUGGUCAUUCGUUUGACAUAGCACGCCGCAGAUUUCUCAGCUUGGAACGCAGUUUGACACAAUCUUCAGAACUUCGCUUACAGUAUUGUUAAUUCAUGAAGGAGUAUGAACGUUUGGAACACAUGUAGCUGCCCAGCAGCGAAACCACGAAGCUUAGAGUCGUCUUCGACGCCUCGUGUCAUAUAUCCACUCAAACUUCCUGACUCUCCAAGAUGAUUCAGACUACACUGAUAUGUCAUAACAGCGGAUGUUGUCAAGAUGUAUAGAUGAACCACUUCGCACUUAUCAACUCAAUACGGUCACAUAUGGAACAGCCUCGGCACCAUAUUUAGCCAAACGCAGCCUGCAUUAUUUUGUAGAUGACUGUAGAUCGAGCUGAUUAUCUAAUCGGUGCUACAGUCAUCGAAUCAUAGUUCGACUUAGAUGACUUGUAUUGGAGGUGAGGACGUACAAACUCUUCGCACACUCAAGGAUCAAGUCAUGGAAAUUUAGUAUCGUGAUCACUUUCCAAGCCCUUGAUAAAGUGUAUAUAGUUCAAAUCGACAGAGCAAUACGAAUCGGUGGCUCUGUAUGUCUGUUUACCUGUAAUAAUUAUAUAUUUUGGUUUGGCAAUUUUGGUUGCAAGAAAAAAUAUCAGAAAAAUCUAUGAUUUCUUUGAUGCUGUCUCCGUUGUUUGGGGGGCUUUUGGAUAAAGCGCUGAACGGGUGGCUCCCCAGAUAGACUGACCUAAGGCGAGAGAUUGAAAGAUUAUUAUGAUAAGUAGCUCGAUGUUCUAUAAAAUUUCAA
rnacentral:sRNA from 1 species